rnacentral:rRNA from 1 species
UGGGGAAUAUUGCACAAUGGGCGAAAGCCUGAUGCAGCGACGCCGCGUGAGGGAUGAAGGUCUUCGGAUUGUAAACCUCUUUCAGUAGGGACGAAGCGAAAGUGACGGUACCUAAAGAAGAAGCACCGGCUAACUACGUG